CACGGGACGCAGCAGUGGGGGAAUUUUGGAUAAUGGGAAACCUCGAUCCAGCCAUCCUGGUGUGCGAUGAAGGCUCUCGCUGUAAAGCACUUUUGGUAGGAAAGAAAACGCAGCAUCGAUAAUACCGCGCAACUGACGGUACCCGCAGAAUAAGCACCGGCUAACCACGUGCCAGCAGCCGCGGUAAUACGUAGGGUGCAAGCGUUAAUCGGAACACGGGCGUAAAGGCAGGCGGUUUCGGAAAGAAAGAUGUGAAAUCCCAGAGCUUAACUUUGGAACUGCAUUUUUAACUACCGAGCUAGAGUGUGUCAGAGGGAGGUGGAAUCGCGUAAAGAAUGCGUAGAUAUGCGGAGGAACACCGAUGGCGAAGGCAGCCUCCUGGGAUAACACUGACGCUCAUGCACGAAAGCGUGGGGAGCAAAUAGGAUUAGAUACCCGCGUAGU
rnacentral:misc_RNA from 1 species